GUUAAAGUUCUUAUUUCAUGGUAUAACUUUGGUAUGCUUGGACCUAGAGUCUUCAAACUUGACAUGAAGUUUGGCCAGGAUUAACAGAUGACCACUGGUCAUUUCAAGGUCAUUCAUUUGAAGGUCAAGGUCACUGUGACCUUCAAUAUAAAAAAUGUUAAAGUUCUUAUAACUUUGGUAUGCUUGGACCUAGAGUCUUGAAACUUGACAUGAAGGUUGGCCAGAACUAGUUAGUAACCACUGGUCAUUUCAAGGUCAUUCAUUUGAAGGUCAAGGUCACUGUGACCUUGAAUGUAAAAAUGUUAAAGUUCUUAUUUCAUGGUAUAACUUUGGUAUGCUUGGACCUAGAGUCUUCAAACUUGACAUGAAGGUUGGCCAGGAUUAACAGAUGACCACUGGUCAUUUCAAGGUCAUUCAUUUGAAGGUGAAGGUCACUGUGACCUUCAAUAUAAAAAUGUUAAAGUUGUUAUAACUUUGGUAUGCUUGGACCUAGAGUCUUGAAACUUGACAUGAAGGUUGGCCAGAACUAGUAAGUAACCACUGGACAUUUCAAGGUCAUUCAUUUGAAGGUCAAGGUCACUGUGACCUUGAAUGUAAAAAUGUUAAAGUUCUUAUUUCAUGUUAUAACUUUGGUAUGCUUGUACCUAGAGUCUUCAAACUUGAAAUAAAGAUUGGCCAGUACUAGAAGAUGACCACUGGUCAUUUCAAUGUCAUUCAUUUGAAGGUCAAGGUCACUGUGACCUUAAAUGUUAAAAUGUUAAAAUUGUUAUAACUUUGGUAUGCUUGGACAUAGAGUCUUCAAACUUGACAUGAAGGUUUGCAAGCACACUUAGAUGACCACUGGUCAUUUCAAGGUCAUUCAUUCUAAGGUCAAGGUCACACAAGGUCACUGUGACCUUAAAUGUUAAAAUGUUAAAAUUGUUAUAACUUUGGUAUGCUUGGACAUAGAGUCUUCAAACUUGACAUGAAGGUUUGCAAGCACACUUAGAUGACCACUGGUCAUUUCAAGGUCAUUCAUUCUAAGGUCAAGGUCACUGUGACCUUAAAUGUUAUUGUUGUUCAUGUAUCCUACCGUAGCUCAAAUAUCCCCCGAUGGAUUUUUUAUACGCCCGUCUAUGACGGGACGUAUUAUGGUAUACCCCGCGUCCGUCUGUCCGUCCGUCCGUCCGUCCGUCCGUCCGUCCGUCUGUUAAUGUCGUACGCUACGUCAAAUAUCCUUUGACAGAUUUUCUUCAAAUUUUAACACAAUCUUAAUAUUGAUAAACCCUGAUCCCCUUUCGUUUUUGACGGAAUUCUGAAUUGUCGUUCCAGAGUUAUGGGACUUUGUUCGUCAAAAUUUCGUGAUUUCAUUGAAUGUCCUACUGUAG